rnacentral:pre_miRNA from 1 species
UUUGGGGCGACAAGCGAAGGACACCAGAAUGUUGGUGCCCAUCGCUUAUCGCCCCAAC